rnacentral:misc_RNA from 1 species
GAUGAAGAACGUAGCGAAAUGCGAUACGUAAUGUGAAUUGCAGAAUUCAGUGAAUCAUCGAGUCUUUGAACGCACAUUGCGCCCCCUGGUAUUCCGGGGGGCAUGCAUGUCCGAGCGUCAUUGCUGCCCUCAAGCACGGCUUGUGUGUUGGGCCUCCGUCCUCCUCCCGGGGGACGGGCCCGAAAGGCAGCGGCGGCACCGCGUCCGGUCCUCGAGCGUAUGGGGCUUCGUCACCCGCUCUUGUAGGCCCGGCCGGCGCUUGCCGACACAUCAAUCUUUUUUCCAGGUUGACCUCGGAUCAGGUAGGGAUACCCGCUGAACUUAAGCAUAUCAAUAAGCGGAGGA